GGCAUCACAUGAUUCGGCACCUUCACCAAAAAACAACGAACAAGCUCAUAACAAAACAGAUACAGAGAGCAAUGAGACGUAUGAUUCAUUAGAAGGCACGAAGACACAAGAUCAACAUCAAUCUAGAGAGUCGGUGGAGACAGAUUCGAAUGAUUCAGUACAUUCAUCGCAAACUUCCGAACAAUGUCAAUAUACAAUAGAGGCAGAAGAUGGGGAGAGUGAUGAUUAUCUUAACGGUAAGGU